GUGAUUGCUGGACCCAGGCUAAAAGGAGAUUAGUCUGUAAAAGGGAGCAUUCUGGAACUGUGCUUCCCCUCUACAGAUAGUUUCGUUUGAAUAGCUGGCUGGACUGAGGCUUUAUCUGCACUUAAAAUGCUACAGCGGCACAGGUUCUCCCAUUGCUGAAGCAAUACUGCUACCAUCUGGAAGCUGCUAGCCUGGACCAGCUCAUUCUUCCAAAUCCUAAAUGGACAACUAUUCUCCAAUAGAUUCAGCAAUACAGGAGUGCAUCAUUUUCCCCAAGCCAGGAAGACACACCCUAUCCUCUUGGAUGAGGACCUGGCCAGCAUGAUCCACGCAUUCAACUCCAGAUGAGACUUCUGCAGUAUCUGGAAACUGAAAUCUGUGCAGUAUGUAGCAGCACACGUAUUAGCCAA